CUAACCGUAAACUAUGCCAACUAGCGAUCCGUUCGGUGUUAAAUAUUGACUCGACGGGCAGCUUCCGGGAAACCAAAGUUUAUAGGUUCCGGGGGAAGUAUGGUUGCAAAGCUUAAACUUAAAGGAAUUGACGGAAGGGCACCACCAGGAGUGGAGCCUGCGGCUUAAUUUGACUCAACACGGGGAAACUCACCCGGCCAGGACACAAUAAGGAUUGACAGAUUGAUAGCUCUUUCUUGAUUUUGUGGGUGGUGGUGCAUGGCCGUUCUUAGUUGGUGGAGCGAUUUGUCUGGUUAAUUCCGAUAACGAACGAGACUCUAGCCUAUUAAAUAGACGAUAUAUUUUAUUCGUAUAUCGAGCUUCUUAGAGGGACGAGCAGCUUCUAGCUGCACGAGAUUGAGCAAUAACAGGUCUGUGAUGCCCUUAGAUGUCCGGGGCUGCACGCGCGCUACAAUGAAAAUAGCAGCGCGUUUCGAAAACCUUUUCUGGAAAGAAUUGGUAAACGCGAAAUAUUUUCGUGAUAGGGAUAGGGGAUUGCAAUUAUUGCCCUUGAACGAGGAAUUCCCAGUAAAUUCGAGUCAUCAGCUCGAGUUG
rnacentral:rRNA from 1 species